rnacentral:rRNA from 1 species
UGGGGAAUAUUGCGCAAUGGGCGAAAGCCUGACGCAGCGACGCCGCGUGAGGGAUGAAGGUUUUCGGAUCGUAAACCUCUGUCAGAAGGGAAGAAACCGCACUGUGCUAAUCAGCAGUGCCUUGACGGUACCUUCAAAGGAAGCACCGGCUAACUCCGUGCCAGCAGCCGCGGUAAUACGGAGGGUGCAAGCGUUAAUCGGAAUUACUGGGCGUAAAGCGCACGUAGGCUGCUUUGUAAGUCAGGGGUGAAAUCCCACGGCUCAACCGUGGAAAUGCCUUUGAUACUGCUUAGCUUGAGUCCGGGAGAGGGUGGCGGAAUUCCAGGUGUAGGGGUGAAAUCCGUAGAUAUCUGGAGGAACAUCAGUGGCGAAGGCGGCCACCUGGACCGGUAUUGACGCUGAGGUGCGAAAGCGUGGGGAGCAAACAGG